rnacentral:lncRNA from 10 species
CGACGCUGGGCCACCACUCCUUGACAGCCACUUCAUGCGCCACCUCUUUUUGUUUUGGACACUUCUUCAGCCUUUCCUUCUCCUCAUUCCCAUCCCUGGAUCCUGAAACAGGGAAGAUGAUAAAAUCAGAAACUCAUCCCUGGAUCCUGAGACAGGAAAGAUGAUAAAGUCAAAACCAGCAUAUUCCGGGACCAUGUCCUGCCUUGGAAGGCAGCAGGAAUGGUUCAGAAUAUGGCGCCCAGGGAGCACGGCUUAAUGAUAGGGGCCUCAUGAAGCCCUGAAAGCCAGCCUGGAGUAAAAGCAAAUGCCAUGGUCUGCAGGUUAACACAAGAAGGCCCUGAGCACUGGAGAUAAUGAAAGAGGAGUCGGGCCGGGUGCCAUGGCUCACACCUGUUAUCCAAGCACUUCAGGAGGCUGAGGUGGGAGGAUCGCUUGAGGCCAGAAAUUCAAGGGACAGUGAGCUGUGAUCGGGCCACUGCACUCCAGCCUGGGCAACUCUCUAAUAAAAAAAAAAAAAAAUGCUGGGCGUGGUGGCCCAUGCCUGUAAUCCCAGCACCACUCUGGGAGGCUGGGGUGGGCAGAUCACCUGAGGUCAGGAGUUCGAGACCUGCCUGGCCAACAUGGGGAAACCUUGUCUGUACUAAAUUACAAAAAUUAGCCAGGCGAGGUGGUGGGCGCCUGUAAUCCCAGCUACUUGGGAGGCUGAGGCAGGAGAAUCCCUGGAACUGGGGAGGUGGAGGUUGCAGUGAGCCAACCUCGUGCCACUGCACUCCAGCAUGGGCGACACAGCAAGACUCAGUCUCAAAAAAAUAAAAAAAGAAAAAGGAGUGAACAAUAUUGAACGCUUAACUCUGUGUCAGGCUUUGAGGACACAGUGAUGGUCCCAGUCCUCAUGGCACUUACCAUCCUGAACCUGUUUAUGAUCCCUUUACAAAACAGCCAUUCAAUGACCUUCUUUGGUACCAGCUCAAAUUCUUUUGGCACCUUUCCUCUCUGCUCUUACCAUCACCAAAAAGUCUACACUUGCUGGUGGGGCACAGUGACUUACGCCUGUAAUCCCAGCACUUUGGGAGGCAGAGGCAGGUGGAUCACGAGAUCAGGAGUUCAAGACCAGCCUGGCCAAGAUGGUGAAAGCCCGUCUCUACUAAAAAUACAAAAAUUAGCUGGGCAUGAUGGCGGGUACCUGUAAUCCCAGCUACUCAGGAGGCUGAGGCAGGAGAAUUGCUUGAGCCUGGGAGGCGGAGGUUGCAGUGAGCCUAGACCAUGCCACUGUACUCCAGCCUGGGCAACAGAGCGAGACUGUCUCAAAAAAUAAGUCUACACUUGGACUGCCUCACUAGGUUCCACGGGAAGACCUUCUGGGAACAAGCAUUUAUUCUGGUAUCAGGGCUGCAGGAAAAACAUUUCUCUUCAUUUAAAAAUCUAAUUAAUGGUGUUAUUUACUACACGUGGUUCACAUCAUUAAUAUCCAAGAGGAACAUCUGUCUUCAUUUUAUCCCACAACAAAAAUCAAAUUACAGGUUUCCCCUUUCCCUUGACCUCCUAGGAAGCUCAAGCUCUAUUUUGCAUUAAACUGAGGUUUUCCAGUAUGGUUAAUCGGUUCCAUAGAUCCCAAUUUCGCUGUUCCAUCGGGCCAUUUUGCAGUGAGAUGAGGACGUUUCUGGGGUAGGGUGCAGGGAGACAGGAUGGGACUUUGGAGGGGGCAGCCUGCGCUGAGGAUGUGAGUGAGUUGGGGGCGGGGGUUGGGGCUUCUCCACGGCUACUUAUCCAAAUGAAGUACCUGCUUCCUGUCCUUGGCCCCUGCUGAAAGCUGCAGAGCUCUCACCGUCGGGAUCCUGGGCCUCCGGGCUCCACGCCUCCACUUCUCCUUCCACCCACGAGAUAAAAGCGGGUUUGGGAACUGAAAAUCCUGCGAAGGAGAAACAAUGGGCUCGGCUGAGCGCACGGGAGGGGAGAAUGAGACUGCUCCCUCGGCGCCCCGCUUCCAGCCCACUAGCCUCUGGGGACACCGAUCACCGCUUCCCACCGACGGACUGGGGGUCCCGGCCGGAGGGCCCGGCCUCACCCAGCGCGCCCAGGUGGCCGAAGGUCUCCCGCAUCACGUCCCGGUACAGGGCC